AGUGAACGCUGGCGGUAGGCCUAACACAUGCAAGUCGAACGGCAGCACAGUAAGAGCUUGCUCUUACGGGUGGCGAGUGGCGGACGGGUGAGGAAUACAUCGGAAUCUACUUUUUCGUGGGGGAUAACGUAGGGAAACUUACGCUAAUACCGCAUACGACCUACGGGUGAAAGCAGGGGAUCUUCGGACCUUGCGCGAUUGAAUGAGCCGAUGUCGGAUUAGCUAGUUGGCGGGGUAAAGGCCCACCAAGGCGACGAUCCGUAGCUGGUCUGAGAGGAUGAUCAGCCACCCUGGAACUGGGACACGGUCCAGACUCCUACGGGAGGCAGCAGUGGGGAAUAUUGGACAAUGGGCGCAAGCCUGAUCCAGCCAUACCGCGUGUGUGGAGGAGGCCUUCGGGUUGUAAAGCCCUUUUGUUGGGAAAGAAAAGCAGCAGGUUAAUACCCCGCUGUUCUGACGGUACCCAAAGAAUAAGCACCGGCUAACUUCGUG
rnacentral:rRNA from 1 species